rnacentral:rRNA from 1 species
GUACACUCCUACGGGAGGCAGCAGUGGGGAAUAUUGGACAAUGGGCGCAAGCCUGAUCCAGCCAUGCCGCGUGAGUGAUGAAGGCCCUAGGGUUGUAAAGCUCUUUCACCGGUGAAGAUAAUGACGGUAACCGGAGAAGAAGCCCCGGCUAACUUCGUGCCAGCAGCCGCGGUAAUACGAAGGGGGCUAGCGUUGUUCGGAUUUACUGGGCGUAAAGCGCACGUAGGCGGACUAUUAAGUCAGGGGUGAAAUCCCGGGGCUCAACCCCGGAACUGCCUUUGAUACUGGUAGUCUUGAGUUCGAGAGAGGUGAGUGGAAUUCCGAGUGUAGAGGUGAAAUUCGUAGAUAUUCGGAGGAACACCAGUGGCGAAGGCGGCUCACUGGCUCGAUACUGACGCUGAGGUGCGAAAGCGUGGGGAGCAAACAGGAUUAGAUACCCUUGUAGUCCCAUGAU